AUUGAACGCUGGCGGCAUGCCUUACACAUGCAAGUCGAACGGCAGCACGGGAGCAAUCCUGGUGGCGAGUGGCGAACGGGUGAGUAAUAUAUCGGAACGUGCCCAGUCGUGGGGGAUAACGUAGCGAAAGCUACGCUAAUACCGCAUACGAUCUAUGGAUGAAAGCGGGGGAUCGCAAGACCUCGCGCGAUUGGAGCGGCCGAUAUCAGAUUAGGUAGUUGGUGGGGUAAAGGCCCACCAAGCCUGCGAUCUGUAGCUGGUCUGAGAGGACGACCAGCCACACUGGAACUGCGACACGGUCCAGACUCCUACGGGAGGCAGCAGUGGGGAACUUUGGACAAUGGGCGAAAGCCUGAUCCAGCAAUGCCGCGUGCAGGAUGAAGGCCUUCGGGUUGUAAACUGCUUUUGUACGGAGCGAAAGGGCUCUCUCUAAUACAGGGGGCUCGUGACGGUACCGUAAGAAUAAGCACCGGCUAACUACGUGCCAGCAGCCGCCGUAA
rnacentral:rRNA from 1 species